CUCACUGUAGUUUAUUAUAAAACGUCGACUUGCAAAAUCGAAAAAGGAUAAGUAUCUCAGUGUGU
rnacentral:tRNA from 1 species